UACAGAGGGUGCGAGCGUUAAUCGGAAUUACUGGGCGUAAAGCGUGCGUAGACGGUUAUGUAAGUCAGGUGUGAAAGCCCCAGGCUCAACCUGGGAAUUGCAUUUGAGACUGCAUAGCUAGGGUGCGGAAGAGGGAAGCGGAAUUUCCGGUGUAGCGGUGAAAUGCGUAGAUAUCGGAAGGAACAUCAGUGGCGAAAGCGGCUUCCUGGUCCAGCACCGACGUUCAGGCACGAAAGCGUGGGGAGCAAACAGG
rnacentral:rRNA from 1 species